GAAAAAAGAGAAUAAAUAAAAAAAUGAAAUUAAAAUAGAACAGGGACCAAUCUGCGACGCACGCAUUAUAUGAGGGGGCCCAAAUGGAAAUAAUCUGCCUCCCUAAAACGCUGCACCGCAAUGAGGACUGAUUUGAAACAAGGUAAAAACAUUUGGGCCAAAUUAAAUAAAUAAUUGACUUAAUAAAACAUGGCACAAAGGGGAAGGACUUAUUGCACAAUUCUCCCAUUGAAGAUUGAUAUACGCGGACCCCCAAACUAAACAGUGCCAUCAUUGCUCAGUUUUAAGUUUUAAAAAACAAAUUUAGGGAAAUGUUUAGCCUUUCCCUUUGAAGCAGAAACUGCUUCUUUUGGGGUUUUCUUAACCUUUUGGCCGCCGUUCAGCCCAUGCCCCGAUUUCGUCGGAGGGGACACCAGCUCGACGACUCCGGCGAAAGGUAAGUCUCCCUUUUUUUUUUCUUUUUCGUAUUUUAAAGAAAAGAAAUAAAAGAUAAUAAUGAAAUAAAAGCAAAAUAGAAUGAAAGAACAAAAAUCUCUUUCCCUUUUUUAUCAUUACAUGCGCAGAAACAAAAUAAAAAGAAAUCACUAAAACACUUCUAGUCAUCACCUUAAAAACUGAUAUCUGCUCUAUUAUAUAUAUUUUUUCCUCUGUAUUUUUUUUUUCAGUCUCCUCCCCAUUUAGUACAUAGAUCUAGGCUUUUUAUAGCCUAAAAAAUACAUUUUAUUUACACAAUUUUCUUUUUCGGACUCUUCUAGUCCACAUUUGCAGGUGAUCGUGGCGAUUACAGCAUGCGUGGAGGUGGUCGACUCCAAGUUGUGCGGUGACUGGAGUUUCUGGGAGCGAAAUCGCGCAAAAAAAAAGGGUGACAGUUGUGGCGCCGUUGCUCUAGCUGUUUUAGGGUUUCUGCUGUAUUUGUUUGGCUAGGUUUGGGUUAAAUAGGAUAUUUGGGCUUAGCAAAAUUGGGCCCAUUUAUUGAUUUGGGCCCGGGCAUAUUUGGGCAUGUACAUGAUACGAAUAGGAGAAUUCGCAAGUGACGAACUCAAAAGCUGCGAAGUAGUAAGCGAAAGAAUUGUUUGGGUUCCAACAUCUCUAAUUCACCAAAAUAUGUAUAAAAAAUUACGUUUGCACUCCCAUAUGGCAGAGCAACAUUGUCAAGCUCAAUGGUUGCAGCAUUCUCAUCCAAAUGCCGAAAAAUAUCCUCAAAAAAUUUCACAUCGCAAGACACAAAGAAUUUCUUAGAAUCCAGAUUAUAUAAAUACCGACCAUUCUUGCCCAAAGGGUACCAACAAAAACACACUUUCGACUUUGACUAGCAAACUUAUCACCCUUAGUAUGUUGAUUAUGAGCAAAACAUAAGCAACCAAACACACGAAUAUCAUC
rnacentral:lncRNA from 1 species